AUUUGACUCAACACGGGAAAUCUUACCGGGUCCGGACGUAUCGAGGAUUGACAGAUAGUUAUACAUGCCCUACAAGCAAGUAGGAGUCAGGUUUUAAACCUAAUGGCUCUUUCAUGAUUAUAUGAUAGGUGGUGCAUGGCCGUUCUUAGUUCGUGGAGUGAUCUGUCUGCUUAAUUGCGUUUCAAAUUUUUAACCGAGGACCGGGUUUUGGUUUGGCUAGUGGUCCUACGAUGACUGUGAACUGUCAUGUCUUCGGAUGUACGACUAUCGGUCUAGGAUCACAUGACUUGCCCCUGGGACUCUUUUGAACGCAACGGACGUGAUUGCAACCCCUUGUUGAGAUUAGAGAUAGUCUCGAUAUUCACUGGCCAAACUGGCUGCUUUAUGCAGUCUUGUUGAAUGGUGGAUAAACUCGGGGGACUGCUGACUAUAACCAUUUCUCAAAACAGAGGAAGGUUGCGGCAAUAACAGG
rnacentral:rRNA from 1 species